rnacentral:tRNA from 1 species
CAGGGGAUAGUUUAAUGUUAGAAUUUCAGCUUUGGGUGUUGAUGGUAGAAUUUAGUGUUCUUUCCCUGA